GCUCCGGUGGCCUAGUGGUUAGAGCGUCCGCCUUGGAUGCAGGAGUUCGUGGGUUUUAUCCCCGGCCCAGUGUU